CCUACGGGUGGCAGCAGUAGGGAAUAUUGCUCACUGGGGGAAACCCUGAAGCAGCAACGCCGCGUGGAGGAUGAAGGUUUUCGGAUUGUAAACUCCUUUUGUUAGAGAAGAUAAUGACGGUAUCUACCGACUACGCACCGGCUAACUCCGUGCCAGCCGCCGCGGUCAUACGGAGGGUGCAAGCGUUACUCGGAAUCACUGGGCGUAAAGAGCGCGUAGGCGGGAUAGCAAGUCAGAUGUGAAAUCCUAUGGCUUAACCAUAGAACUGCAUUUGAAACUGUUAUUCUAGAGUAUGGGAGAGGUAGGUGGAAUGCUUGGUGUAGGGGUAAAAUGCGUAGAGAUCAAGAGGAAUACUCAUUGCGAAGGCGACCUGCUAGAACAUAACUGACGCUGAUGCGCGAAAGCGUGGGGAGCAAACAGGAUUAGAUACCCGAGUAGUC
rnacentral:rRNA from 1 species